CAGACCCUGGACGGGGGCGACCGGAGGCCAAGGGCAAGCGGAGGCGGGCGGCGAAGGAUGGCAGCCCGGACCCAGUCCCACCACCAUGGGUCUCAACUGCUCGGGGCAGGACUGUCCCCCUUCCCAACGCUCGGCGUUACGGGGCACAGACCAUCCAUGGCCGGAGGGAGCUCCUGAAGGGACUGCAGCAGCAACCAUGGCUGGAACUCUGUUUCUAGAGGCUGGGAAGUUCAAGAUCAAGGUGUUGACAGAGUCCACUGCCUGGUGUGCAGAUGCCUAAUUUCUUGCUGUGUCCUCAGAUGGCUGAAAGGAGAGAGAGAGAAAAGAGAACUCUAAUGAAGUCAACUUGCCAGUUGAUCCACUCAAGAAAUGAUGUCAUAUGAAGACUCAGCAGUGAUCUCUGUUGCUGGCAUAUCAAACAUUAGGCAAUAUUAAUGAUUAGACUAUCCUCGAUGGAAGUUUGUACCUUUAGACUGCCCUCCUCCAAUUCUCUCUCCCCACACCAGACACCCACU